UUGGAGGGCAAGUCUGGUGCCAGCAGCCGCGGUAAUUCCAGCUCCAAUAGCGUAUAUUAAAGUUGCUGCAGUUAAAAAGCUCGUAGUUGAAUUUCGGGACCAUCAUGUCGGUCGUGCCUCGGUACGUACUGGUAUUGUUGGUUUCUCCCUUCUGACGAACCAUGAUGUCAUUUAUUUGGUGCUGUGGGGAAUCAGGACUGUUACUUUGAAAAAAUUAGAGUGUUUAAAGCAGGCUCACGCUUGAAUACAUUAGCAUGGAAUAAUGGAAUAGGACGUUUGAUUCUAUUUUGUUGGUUUCUAGGAUCGACGUAAUGAUUAAUAGGGAUAGUUGGGGGCAUUAGUAUUCAAUUGUCAGAGGUGAAAUUCUUGGAUUUAUUGAAGACUAACUACUGCGAAAGCAUUUGCCAAGGAUGUUUUCAUUAAUCAAAAACGAAAGUUAGGGGAUCGAAGACGAUCAGAUACCGUCGUAGUCUUAACCAUAAACUAUGCCGACUAGGGAUCGGAUGAUGUUAAUUUUUUAAUGACUCAUUCGGCGCCUUACGGGAAAC
rnacentral:rRNA from 1 species